rnacentral:rRNA from 1 species
AUUGAACGCUGACGGCAGGCUUAACACAUGCAAGUCGAGCGGGGGAAGGUAGCUUGCUACCGGACCUAGCGGCGGACGGGUGAGUAAUGCUUAGGAAUCUGCCUAUUAGUGGGGGACAACAUCUCGAAAGGGAUGCUAAUACCGCAUACGUCCUACGGGAGAAAGCAGGGGAUCUUCGGACCUUGCGCUAAUAGAUGAGCCUAAGUCGGAUUAGCUAGUUGGUGGGGUAAAGGCCUACCAAGGCGACGAUCUGUAGCGGGUCUGAGAGGAUGAUCCGCCACACUGGGACUGAAACACGGCCCAGACUCCUACGGGAGGCAGCAGUGGGGAAUAUUGGACAAUGGGGGGAACCCUGAUCCAGCCAUGCCGCGUGUGUGAAGAAGGCCUUAUGGUUGUAAAGCUCUUUAAGCGAGGAGGAGGCUACUCUAGUUAAUACCUAGGGAUAGUGGACGUUACUCGCAGAAUAAGCACCGGCUAACUCUGUGCCAGCCGCCGCGGUAA